rnacentral:rRNA from 1 species
AGUGAACGCUGGCGGUAGGCCUAACACAUGCAAGUCGAACGGCAGCACAGGAGAGCUUGCUCUCUGGGUGGCGAGUGGCGGACGGGUGAGGAAUACAUCGGAAUCUACUCUGUCGUGGGGGAUAACGUAGGGAAACUUACGCUAAUACCGCAUACGACCUACGGGUGAAAGCAGGGGACCUUCGGGCCUUGCGCGAUUGAAUGAGCCGAUGUCGGAUUAGCUAGUUGGCGGGGUAAAGGCCCACCAAGGCGACGAUCCGUAGCUGGUCUGAGAGGAUGAUCAGCCACACUGGAACUGAGAAACGGUCCAGAUUCCUACGGGAGGCAGCAGUGGGGAAUAUUGGACAAUGGGCGCAAGCCUGAUCAGCCAUACCGCGUGGGUGAAGAAGGCCUUCGGGUUGUAAAGCCCUUUUGUUGGGAAAGAAAUCCAGCUGGCUAAUACCCGGUUGGGAUGACGGUACCCAAAGAAUAAGCACCGGCUAACUUCGUGCCAGCCGCCGCCGUAA